rnacentral:misc_RNA from 1 species
AAAAAUGGUUAAUAUAUAGUUUCUCAAAAAACGCUUCAUACAAUUGAAAACUGUGUAUAAUAUUUUAAAUCAAUACAUAAUACUUCCCUUUUUUAUAUACAAGCAAAAUGCAAUUUAUUAAUGAAAAGAGAAAUGGAUAGAAGGCUGCGUCCAACUAAACCCAUGCCAGCAGGCAUACCCCUUACACCCAACCUAAUGAAGCAAGACCUUCUACCUAUGUCAACAGAAAGUGACGCAAAGCAAUUAUAACAAAGCUAACAAAUACAAUUGCGGUACAAUCCCUGUUUGCAAGAGAGUCAGCGAAGCAAUUCACUGCUCUAGGAGCAUGACUCACCCCGGCAUUAGGGAGGCGCUUUAGGUUGCAGCUAAUAGAGUUCAGCACAGAGGAGAGACGCCGAGGUGUACUGUCUUAGUGUCAUCGUUAUUCACCCAAGACACAGCGAUCUAAGGGUCAGUUUCAAUAAGGAUACCGACAGCAUUAGUAGGGUAAAGAGGAGGAGAAACAGACAACAAACGCUUUUUGAAUGGCCUUUAACUCUGCGGCGCUUGAAUCAUCAAUCCUAGGGAGGAACCUUCAACGUUCAACUUGAGCUGAUUUAGAGGCGAAGGGGUCCAGGAAGAUACAGGUUGAUGCUUUGAUGGAAGAGACUGAAGACAGCAGAUCCAAACCAGAGUAUGGGAAGCUAGCGUCCAUUGCCUUGAGCCAGAUGGCUACUCGAUGGAGAAUAAGAGAACACAGAGAGAGCAAUGACACCUCCUCACCCGAGAAAAUUCCUUCAUUUCUCAUAAGCCAGAUGGACCACAUAAUUGAGAAAAAUAAAGUGUACCAGAAUUUGACCUGAAACUUCCCAUGAGCCAAAAUUUUCCAUUCUAGCAGCAACAAAGAAACAGAAUUACGAAUACACAAAUAAAUUCCCUACCAAUUAAAGCACCAAGAUCACAUCUCUCAUGAAGUUUUGCACUCCACAAAGAUAUGAGUUUAAUGGCAUUACUGCAACGGGGACAAAGAAUCUCGGAUGCUGGGAUAAUAUUGAGCCUACAUAACCAUUCUUUUGAGACCAAUCUGCCAAGGCAUGCCAACCAAAACAUAAUCUCAACCUUUGGAGGAGCGAGACAAUGAAGGGUAUUGUGGAACACACCUAACAUUCUGAAUUAAGGAAGCACUUAUAAAGAGGAUUAAGCAACCAUAAUCAACAAAUAAUACUUGAUUUAAAGAUUAAACUUCUUUAAAUGUUACUAUAGAUUUUUUUUAUUAACAACUCAAUUAAAAGUAACAGCUUGAUUAAAUUUUAAUAAUUUAUGAGAAAAUAACAACUUAAAAGAAAAAUCAUUCAUUUGUCUGAAACGUUUCAUCCUUUAUAUAUAUAUAUAUAUUACCACCAACUCAUAGUCACUCCAUAUUUAACUACAAAAAGAGUUGCACGCAUUAAGGUUGCUAGCAACCGGAAGAUUUCUUUUUGACAAAACAAUAGGAGUACCUUUCAAUUACGGGUCAACAAUUCAUGCCAUUAUUCACACAGAAUGACCACUUCCCAAAUGAUGAUGUAAAUGGGGACAGAGCCAAUCACUCAACAACAGCAGUAAUGCACAUGAACAUCAUUGGGAAUGUUGAACAGUCAAACCUUAACGAAAAAAAAAGUCUUCGGCUCAGUUUACAAAGUAAACAAGGAAUCUGAUUUGAUAGGUUUAAUGUAAUUUCAGGACUACAACUAAAUUUGAGCAUUUUAAAGUUUCCUUGAAUGUAUUAUAAAUUUAAUCCAACAUGCUCAAGCAUCAAAGGAAAGCUAUGGAAUCAUGUACAGUAACUUGAGAAAUUUAAAGAGAGCAGGAUUUACUUGCCUUACAAGAGAUGGAAUUUUACAACUAUUUGCAAGUGCAAGAAUUGCUAUGAUUGAUGGAUGUGCUUUUCUUUCACUACAUACAAAUGUGGACACACGCUAACCUUAUUUCAUAUGAAAAAGAAAUUUAUAAAUAACACUCACAGAAGAAUAUAAUCAGUGCAACAAUAAAUUGAAUAGUUUCACUUGUGAGUGACAUACAAGAAGAAAGCUGGUUUCAGAGGCAACAAGUUUGUUUCAAAGUUGUCUCCUUAAGUAGUCAGUAGGACUGAUCCCAAUUUUAAGUGUUUUCAGUUAGAAAUCAUUUUCCACAGGAGCAUAAUUCACCCAAUUAUCUCCUCUUAACUUGUUGGAGAAAAAUGGAAGUUGUUCCUUAUCUGAAGAAGCCAUCAAUGAAGAAAUUCUACAGUCCCAAGUUG